AAAUAAAAAAAAUCGAAAACGAAAACAUAAUUCAAACCGCCGCACACGUCACGUCAUUUCAUUGCGGUCUCGCGAAUAAUCCGCGACAGUGGGUCAAUAACUUAUCGUCGUGUCCAGCGCCCACAGCGGUAUAUUAUCGUAUAGGUAUGAUAAUAUAUCGUGGAUAUUUAAUCGCUAAAACGCGCGCACGUCCUUGAGGAGAUCGGAUUUAUUUUUUUUAAUUAUUCUGGAGAAGAGACGGGGUCGUAUUAUUAUUAUUAAUAUACUAGAGUCGAUAAGUCGAUCGUCGUCGUCGUCGUGGCUCGGGGGGGCAAUCGCCUAUACGUAUACAUAUUAUUAUUAAAAAACGACGGUGGCGCGCCUCUAUGUGUACGUAAAAAAUAUAUACGCGCCGUGGAACUAUGGCCGCUACUUGCUAUGUCGAAUUAUUAUUAUUAUACCUAUCGGCGGAAUGUGCAGAGUACCGCCGAGCAUACACAGCCAUAAUAAAAUAUCUCAUCGCGUAUCUAUAUCGUGUGUAUAUCUAUACCUAUACUAUAUAUAUAUAUUGCCUCGGCAGCCGUACUGAUGCUGCGUAGGCGUCCGUAAUGAACGAAAGAGAGUAUGGUAUUCAAUUAUUAUAAUAUUUGACGACCCGUGCGUCCCGAUAAGCCGCAGCGGGUGCCGUAUUUACAGACCCUAUACGAGUUCAAAACGCGACAGAAUUGGCCCCAGGAGUUUACAGAACAUACUAGCCGAUAAUACUUGUCGGUUCAAACGUUUUGUAAUCGAUACCGCUCCGAGGAUUUCUGCAGUGUCCCGGGUGUAAAUAUAAAACAGCCAUAGUGUACCGCCUAUAGUUGAAAAGCUCGCGCGGAUUUAUAGAUGUAUAGCGGAUCGGGAAAAUAAAAAACUCAUCUAUACAUCCAGCGGUAAAGACUGUUUUUUUUUUAAGACCGACGCCACACCUCGACCGAAAUCGGUGGGUUGGUUAUAUGUGGUCGGAGACGUAAGACUUUACAGAACAAUGGAACAUGUUUGAAGCGAUAACCGUAUAAUAAUUAUUUAGUCUCGAUUUGUUCGUAAGAGGG